rnacentral:rRNA from 1 species
GACGAACGCUGGCGGCGUGCUUAACACAUGCAAGUCGAACGCUGAAGCUCAGCUUUUGUUGGGUGGAUGAGUGGCGAACGGGUGAGUAACACGUGAGUAACCUGCCUCCUUCUUUGGGAUAACGCCCGGAAACGGGUGCUAAUACUGGAUAUUCACUGGUCUUCGCAUGGGGGUUGGUGGAAAGGGUUUUUCUGGUGGGGGAUGGGCUCGCGGCCUAUCAGCUUGUUGGUGGGGUGAUGGCCUACCAAGGCUUUGACGGGUAGCCGGCCUGAGAGGGUGACCGGUCACAUUGGGACUGAGAUACGGCCCAGACUCCUACGGGAGGCAGCAGUGGGGAAUAUUGCACAAUGGGCGCAAGCCUGAUGCAGCGACGCCGCGUGAGGGAUGGCGGCCUUCGGGUUGUGAACCUCUUUCGCUCAUGGUCAAGCCGCAACAAUGGUUGUGGUGAGGGUAGUGGGUAAAGAAGCGCCGGCUAACUACGUG